CCCUUAGAUGUCCUGGGCCGCACGCGCGUUACACUGAUGCAUUCAACGAGCUUAUAACCUUGGCCGAGAGGCCUGGUCAAUCUUGUUAACGUGCAUCGUGAUAGGGAUAGAUUAUUGAAAUUAUUAAUCUUGAACGAGGAAUUCCUAGUAAACGCAGAUCAUCAAUCUGCAUUGAUUACGUCCCUGCCCUUUGUACACACCGCCCGUCGCACCUACCGAUUGGAUGGUCCGGUGAAGCCUCGGGAUUGUGGUUCUUGCCGCUUUAUUGUGGCGUGACCGCGAGAACUUGUCUAAACCUUAUCAUCUAGAGGAAGGUGAAGUCGUAACA
rnacentral:rRNA from 1 species